GAUGAACGCUGGCGGCGUGCCUAAUACAUGCAAGUCGAGCGAACGGACGAGAAGCUUGCUUCUCUGAUGUUAGCGGCGGACGGGUGAGUAACACGUGGAUAACCUACCUAUAAGACUGGGAUAACUUCGGGAAACCGGAGCUAAUACCGGAUAAUAUUUUGAACCGCAUGGUUCAAAAGUGAAAGACGGUCUUGCUGUCACUUAUAGAUGGAUCCGCGCUGCAUUAGCUAGUUGGUAAGGUAACGGCUUACCAAGGCAACGAUGCAUAGCCGACCUGAGAGGAUGAUCGGCCACACUGGAACUGAGACACGGUCCAGACUCCUACGGGAGGCAGCAGUGGGGAAUCUUCCGCAAUGGGCGAAAGCCUGACGGAGCAACGCCGCGUGAGUGAUGAAGGUCUUCGGAUCGUAAAACUCUGUUAUUAGGGAAGAACAUAUGUGUAAGUACCUGUGCACAUCUUGACGGUACCUAAUCAAAAAGCCACGGCUAACUACGUG
rnacentral:rRNA from 1 species